ACCGUUUACCGGGGUUUGACAUGCAGGUGAUCGCCGUUGAAAGACGGUUUUCCUCUUCGGAGGCACCUGCACAGGUGCUGCAUGGCUGUCGUCAGCUCGUGUCGUGAGAUGUUGGGUUAAGUCCCGCAACGAGCGCAACCCUUAUCCCCAGUUGCCAUCAGGUAAAGCUGGGAACUCUGGGGAGACUGCCGGUGAUAAACCGGAGGAAGGCGGGGAUGACGUCAAGUCCUCAUGGCCCUUACAUCCCGGGCUACACACGUGCUACAAUGGCAGGUACAGAGGGCUGCGAAGCCGCGAGGUGGAGCGAAUCCCAGAAAACCUGUCUCAGUCCGGAUUGAAGUCUGCAACUCGACUUCAUGAAGGCGGAAUCGCUAGUAACCGCGAAUCAGCAGGUCGCGGUGAAUACGUUCCCGGGCCUU
rnacentral:rRNA from 1 species